rnacentral:rRNA from 1 species
GACAGAGGGUGCAAACGUUGUUCGGAAUUACUGGGCGUAAAGCGCGUGUAGGCGGCUGCGCAAGUCGGAUGUGAAAUCCCAUGGCUCAACCAUGGAAGUGCACCCGAAACUGCGUAGCUAGAGUCUCGGAGAGGAAGGCGGAAUGCUUGGUGUAGAGGUGAAAUUCGUAGAUAUCAAGCGGAACACCGGUGGCGAAGGCAGUUCUCUGGGCCGUAACUGACGCUGAGGAGCGAAAGCGUGGGGAGCGAACAGG